GACGAACGCUGGCGGCGUGCUUAACACAUGCAAGUCGAACGGAAAGGCCCUGCUUUUGUGGGGUGCUCGAGUGGCGAACGGGUGAGUAACACGUGAGUAACCUGCCCUUGACUUUGGGAUAACUUCAGGAAACUGGGGCUAAUACCGGAUAGGAGCUCCUGCUGCAUGGUGGGGGUUGGAAAGUUUCGGCGGUUGGGGAUGGACGCGCGGCUUAUCAGCUUGUGGGUGGGGUAGUGGCUUACCAAGGCUUUGACGGGUAGCCGGCCUGGGAGGGUGACCGGCCACAAUGGGACUGAGAGACGGCCCAGACUCCUACGGGAGGCAGAAGUGGGGAAUAUUGCACAAUGGGCGGAAGCCUGAUGCAGCAACGCCGCGUGCGGGAUGACGGCCUUCGGGUUGUAAACCGCUUUCGCCUGUGACGAAGCGUGAGUGACGGUAAUGGGUAAAGAAGCACCGGCUAACUACGUG
rnacentral:rRNA from 1 species